rnacentral:lncRNA from 1 species
CCACUUCUCCCCUAAUUCGAACCCUAACCCCCUCUUUUCAAAAUUUUCGACUUUCUUGAACAAUUUCACCGAAAAUUCACCAACUACACACAUAUUGUUACUUAUCUCGGUUGUUUGUUGCUGAUUUGUGCAAGGAGGGUUCAAGAAAGGUACAAAUUUCUCCAAAAAUCCAUUCAACCAAGAACGCCCACAAGGUGUUCGACGAAUUGCCCAAGUCAAGUUUGGGGGAAAUUUUGCACAUCAAUCCACUCCUAAUCCCUUCUACACACAUUCUCAAGUCAUGGGGAAACGAGGACGUGACGGGGAGGGCACCUCACAAGGCGAAGGCACUUCAAGGAGCAAAGGGAAGGGCAAGAAAACCGAUCAAAUUCCAACAACCCGACGAUGGUCCCGACGCUUAAAAACAGGUGUUUUCUAUCCUUAAACUCCGGGCGAAUCACAUUGAGGGCAAUGUGAAUUUUAAGUUUGGGGGUGGUUAACUACUUGUUUUAUUUUAUGUGCGCUUUAUUUGUGCUUUAAUUUUUUUUAUUAUUUUGCAUGCUUUAGUUUUUGUUUUAGUUGCCGUUUUUAUUAUUUAAAAAAAAAAAAAAAAAUAAUGUGUGUUCGAUGCAUUGAUGAAUUACGAUGAUGGUAGAUGGUCAAUGUUUGAUGAUGAAACUACUUGUUUUAUGUUGAUAAGGAGUAUGUAUUUGUUUAGCUUUCGAUUCAACGGAACGUAGAAGUGAAU